GUACUUGUGAUCAGGAUCUCGUUUCUGGAGUCAGGAAACUGAGGCUUCCUCACUCGUCAGUCUGCUGCACGGUUCCCUUCUCAAACACAUAGAUGGCGUCCAAAAACUUCCUAUCUUUGUUUUUAACUGUUGUGGCUUGCUGAAUCAGAGCGGCUGAAUUUGAAACAAGUUGUAUCAUUCCCUUCAAGGAUUAACUCAUCCUUCUGGGCUUGAGAGACAGAACAAGCAACACCUGUCCUCAUCCGAACACCGCGGAUGUAAUUUUCACCCAAGAAAUUUCAGAUUUCAACUAAAGAGCCAUUCUCCUGGAUAACGACGUUGAUGGGGAAGUGAGCAUACACGAGACCGCAUCUUGUAACGGAAGCUCAGUGUAACACCCUUGAUGAUGUUCUGAACAUGACUGCAGACGGUUCUGACAGUGGCCAGUUCCUUUCUGUUACUCCACCAUUUGUCAACUGGGAGCCUUUUCUUUUUCUUUCCAACAAGACUCAGCUCCAAUUGGAUGUGAUUGAAGUCCCUCGGCAGAGUUCCCCCGGGGCCCUUCACGGUGACUGUGCUGAGUCUUUUCGGAGAUAUCAUCAGUAGAAGGCAAAGUUUUGUAAGUUCUUUGUGGGAUGGAGCAGAAGGAAUGGAGAGAAAAUACAGUGUAAAGUAUGAAUUAAACACCGACAUCCUACUUGCUGCCAGAACUGUACCACAGAGCUUGAGUUUGUAACCCAAGUUUUCAGAACUGUUUGUCCAACAGUGCUGAAGCUCCCUGAACGGAAACAGGAAUUCGGGGCUUGAGUUAAGUGCCUGGAGGAGCAACGUGGGCUUGGUUUCUGUUUCCGGGAGCAGACGUCGGGACGCCGCUGGGCUUGCUAUUGGCCAACUCGGUGAACACAGGAGGAGUUCCAGAUUGUUGGCACUCCUAUCAGGAAGCUGGAUAAAGCAGCAGUCCUCAAACUUGACCAUCUUAUUGAAUCACCUGAAAGAGUUUUAACAAAGAAACACCAAGCAAACUCCUGGCCAGCCUUCCCCACAGCUUACGAUUUAAGAGACAGAAACUGUGCCCUGGGCAUCAGGAGUUUUUAAAAAGCUCCAAAAUCAUCCCCAGAUGAUUAUCCUGUGCAGCAAAAGUUGAGGAGCACUGACUAGAGAGUGAGAUAAUAGAAAACACAUUUGCGAGUUUGAGAAAGAAGGCUGAUUCAAAUCGCCUGACAGGAAUACUUCUGAAUUAGCUACAGAUUUUGAGUAUACGUUCUACGUGUUCCCAAAACACCAUAGAAAAUGGAGACUUAGAUGUGCUACUAACUACACUAACAUCUUAUGAACCAAAAUUAUAACCACACCAUUAUCUCAUUAAAAC
rnacentral:lncRNA from 1 species